AUUUGAAUUAAUUGCUUCGCUAAUGGUGAAUUUGAAGGAUUCAAAUAGAACAUGAUACCAUGAACAGAAAACAACAGAACUAUAAGAGAACAAAAAGGAGCAUUUCAAGAUGAAAAAACUAUCUAAAACUCAGUUCUAUUGUCUUAGCUUUCUCUCCUGAAUCAUUUAUCAGACUGGGCCACCACUUAGCAACUUCACUAACUCACCUUUCUUCAUCUUUGAAAA
rnacentral:misc_RNA from 1 species